rnacentral:rRNA from 1 species
CGGUCUCAGUUCGGAUUGGAGUCUGCAACCCGACUCCAUGAAGCUGGAUUCGCUAGUAAUCGCGCAUCAGCCACGGCGCGGUGAAUACGUUCCCGGGCCUUGUACACACCGCCCGUCAAGCCAUGGAAGCCGGGAGUGCCUGAAGUACGCGACCGCAAGGAGCGUCCUAAGGUAAAACCGGUGACUGGGGCUAAGUCGUAACAAGGUAUC